rnacentral:rRNA from 1 species
GAUGAACGCUGGCGGCGUGCUUAACACAUGCAAGUCGAACGGAAAGGCCGAAGCUUGCUUCGGUACUCGAGUGGCGAACGGGUGAGUAACACGUGGGUGAUCUGCCCUGUACUUCGGGAUAAGCUUGGGAAACUGGGUCUAAUACCGGAUAUGACGAUCCCUUGGAUGGGGUUGUGGAAAGCUUUUGCGGUUUUGGAUGAGCUCGCGGCCUAUCAGCGUGUUGGUGGGGUAAUGGCCUACCAAGGCGUCGACGGGUAGCCGGCCUGUGAGGGUGUACGGCCACAUUGGGCCUGGGAUACGGCCCAGACUCCUGCGGGAGGCAGCAGUGGGGAAUAUUGCACAAUGGGCGCAAGCCUGAUGCAGCGACGCCGCGUGGGGGAUGACGGCCUUCGGGUUGUAAACUCCUUUCGCAAUCGACGAAGCCUUUUGGUGACGGUAGGUUGAGAAGAAGCACCGGCUAACUACGUG